AAUUCGGCUGGGUUUGAAGCGUAGCUGCUCAAGCGAUGCCUGAGGUAAAAGUUUUAAUAUUUAAAGUGGACCCUUUCACAGCAACAGUGGUGUGAUUGGCUGGUUUGUGUGACGUCACCUACAACUGCAAACAACGCUGUCUGAUUAACCCCGCCGUAAUCGCGGGAAAUAUACUUUGAUCUAUUUUUAUGUUUCUUAAGUGUAAUGCUAUUGCAUUGCUGUUUGACAGUAGUGAAAUCAACCGUAAACUAGCUCAUAUGCUAGUGGAAACAUCAUAUAAGUAUAACUGCAGCAGAAGUUUAUUCUUCCUGCCGCUCUCAGAGUAGCACUUCCAUUGUCAAAAGCAAUCCUCAGCCAGAAGCUAUAUUUUCUUGAAAAACGACUCUUGGAUAUCACCUUGUCUUGGGAAACAGCAGAUCACCACCCUCCAGCUAACAACAACUCUCCAUCAAUCAAGGCCUCAACGAAAAAGACCACCUUCAGCAUUCACUCCGCAUUACUCCCGGCAGAGACAGGUGUCUUGUCCUACUAACACCCCACUCGCGGCCUGCACCUUGAUGUGGUUGACAGGCCUCAAUGGACAGUGAGACGGUGAUCUACCUUUGGACUGGCACCGACCAGACAUGGACACUGAAACUUGAUUUCUCUUAAUGAAUAUCUUUACAAGAUGCAACACACAUUGUGGAACACUUUAGACACUAAUAA